rnacentral:rRNA from 1 species
AUUGAACGCUGGCGGCGUGCCUAACACAUGCAAGUCGAGCGGUAACAGGUGUAGCAAUACAUGCUGACGAGCGGCGGACGGGUGAGUAACGCUUGGGAAUCUGCCUAUCAGUGGGGGACA